CAAAGUGGUAAGUAACUUUUCGUGAUUUGUUGCAUUCUUUUGAAGUUUUACUAACAUUGUGCCAGUUUUAUACUUUCAGGGACUGGGAAGAGGAACAACGAUGGAGGAGCAGGGUUGACCAACAGAGGAAGACGAGAUGACGAGUCCAUUUCCCAUCUCUAUACAGCAGCCAACAUGGCCCAAAGUGGUAAGUAACUUUUCGUGAUUUGUUGCAUUCUUUUGAAGUUUUACUAACAUUGUGCCAGUUUUAUACUUUCAGGGACUGGGAAGAGGAACAACGAUGGAGGAGCAGGGUCGACCAACAGAGGAAGACGAGAUGACGAGUCCAUUUCCCAUCUCUAUACAGCAGCCAACAUGGCCCAAAGUGGUAAGUAACUUUUCGUGAUUUGUUGCAUUCUUUUGAAGUUUUACUAACAUUGUGCCAGUUUUAUACUUUCAGGGACUGGGAAGAGGAACAACGAUGGAGGAGCAGGGUCGACCAACAGAGGAAGACGAGAUGACGAGUCCAUUUCCCAUCUCUAUACAGCAGCCAACAUGGCCCAAAGUGGUAAGUAACUUUUCGUGAUUUGUUGCAUUCUUUUGAAGUUUUACUAACAUUGUGCCAGUUUUAUACUUUCAGGGACUGGGAAGAGGAACAACGAUGGAGGAGCAAGGUCGACCAACAGAGGAAGACGAGAUGACGAGUCCAUUUCCCAUCUCUAUACAGCAGCCAACAUGGCCCAAAGUGGUAAGUAACUUUUCGUGAUUUGUUGCAUUUUUUUGAAGUUUUACUAACAUUGUGCCAGUUUUAUACUUUCAGGGACUCGGAAGAGGAACAACGAUGGAGGAGCAAGGUCGACCAACAGCAAAAGACAGGAUGACGAGUCCAUUUCCCAUCUCUAUGCAGCAACCAAUAUGGCUCAAGGUUGUAAAAGAAAUUUGAGGCUGACCAGGAUCCUGAAGUGAAGAGCAGUCCCUCUCCCAUUUAACAGCAUUCAUGAGCAGAAAGUGCAGAAGCAGAGAUAGCCACCUCUGAAGGUCAGUCUGGAGUGUUUUCUGCUGCAUUCAGAAAGUAUGGGGUGUAUAGUAGUUAGGAAUACUUUUAAGGCUGAACAGGAUCCUGAAGUGAGGAGGACUCCCUCUCUCAUUGAACUGCAUACAGCAGCAGAAAGCAGGAUUUCAGUUCCCCUUUGAUUCAGAAGAGGAACAACAAUGGAGGACCAAGGUCAUUAAUAUAAGAAGAGUCUAUUCCUGUCUGUGUUUUGCAGCAGAAGAAAGUUAAGACUGACCAGGAAUUCUAAGUGAGGAAGAGUCCCUUUCCCAUUCCGCUGCAGCCAUGAGGAGAAUACUCGUAAGAAUCAGACUUUACUUCUUUUUCACCUAUGGAACUUCAUCAUGACCCACUUUAACAGGCAGGAGUCUUACAAGUAUUUUUUAUUUAAUUAUUUCUGACAUAUCUUUGUCCUCCCUACUCUAAAGUAACUAUGCUUUCCUCUCCUUGCCCCAAUAUUCCACCUUAUUCCUAGCUAUCAUAACCUUAUUGUCUUUAUUUGCUUUUUGAUUUUCAAGCUAAUAAUGUUGUAAUGAUUAUGUUCAUUUGAAUUUCUGUGAUUAUUACAUUGCUUUGUAUUAUUGCUUAUCUUCUCUCCAUCAAGUAUUUUCAAGGAAUUUGACAAGGGAAGAGGACCAGUGCUGACCAAGUGAAGAAAAAGAAGAGUCUAUUGCCAAGCUUUGUACAGCAGCCAAUAUCUGAUUAAGGAGUGGGCAGGCGGUUAUGCUGGCAUUGAUCCUGUUUCCAAAAGCAGAUCAACAUGAUUCCUCAAGACUCCAAAGAGAUCAACUAUGGGACCUGAAAAUAAAGGCAGACUGCCAUCAAUUUCAUGUUUCUUUGAUAGCAGACAAAUAUGCUUCAACAAUAGUGCAGAGUAAUUUAAGGUUUGUACUGUAAGUGAUGGACACACUAAAUAACUCAACUCAAAGAAUUCAAUGGAUAGUGCUGAGUACAUUG